UAGGGAAUCUUCCGCAAUGGACGCAAGUCUGACGGAGCAACGCCGCGUGAGUGAAGAAGGAUUUCGGUUCGUAAAACUCUGUUGUUAGAGAAGAACAGCGCAUAGAGUAACUGUUAUGCGUGUGACGGUAUCUAACCAGAAAGCCACGGCUAACUACGUGCCAGCAGCCGCGGUAAUACGUAGGUGGCAAGCGUUGUCCGGAUUUAUUGGGCGUAAAGCGAGCGCAGGCGGUCAAUUAAGUCUGAUGUGAAAGUCCCCGGCUCAACCGGGGAGGGUCAUUGGAAACUGGUUGACUUGAGUGCAGAAGAGGAGAGUGGAAUUCCAUGUGUAGCGGUGAAAUGCGUAGAUAUAUGGAGGAACACCGGUGGCGAAAGCGGCUCUCUGGUCUGUAACUGACGCUGAGGCUCGAAAGCGUGGGGAGCGAACAGG
rnacentral:rRNA from 1 species